rnacentral:misc_RNA from 1 species
GAUGAAGAACGCAGCGAAAUGUGAUAAGUAAUGUGAAUUGCAGAAUUCAGUGAAUCAUCGAAUCUUUGAACGCACAUUGCGCCCAUUAGUAUUCUAGUGGGCAUGCCUGUUCGAGCGUCAUUAAGUCCACUUAAGCCCUGCUUAGUGUUGGGAGACUGCUCCAGCGGUGCUACCCUGUAGCUACCCUGCAGCUCCUCAAAGACAGCGGCGGAGUUGUGGUAUCCUCUGAGCUUAGUAACUUGUUCUAGCUUUCGAGUACACCACUUCCCCUGCCGUAAAACCCUUAAUUUUUAAUGGUUGACCUCGGAUCAGGAAGGAAUACCCGCUGAACUUAAGCAUAUCAAUAAGCGGAGGA